AGAAUCAACGCUGGCGGCGUGCCUAACACAUGCAAGUCGCACGAGAAAGGGUAGCAAUACCUGAGUAAAGUGGCGCACGGGUGAGUAACACGUGACUAACCUACCUCUGAGUGGGGAAUAACUGAGAGAAAUCUUAGCUAAUACCGCAUAACACUUACGAGUCAAAGCAGCAAUGCGCUUGGAGAGGGGGUCGCGGUCAGAUUAGUUAGUUGGCGGGGUAAUGGCCCACAAGACGAUGAUCUGUA
rnacentral:rRNA from 1 species